rnacentral:rRNA from 1 species
GACGAACGCUGGCGGCGUGCCUAACACAUGCAAGUCGAGCGGAGGUACUGGAGGAGUAAUCUGAGAGUACCUGAGCGGCGGACGGGUGAGUAACGCGUGAGCAACCUGCCUUUCACAGGGGGAUAACGCAGCGAAAGCUGCACUAAUACCGCAUGAGACCACGGUGGAGAUACCGCAGGGGUCAAAGGAGCAAUCCGGUGAGAGAUGGGCUCGCGUCCGAUUAGGUAGUUGGUGAGGUAAGGCCCACCAAGCCAAUGAUCGGUAGCCGGCCUGAGAGGGUGAACGGCCGACAUUGGAACUGAGAGACGGUCCAAACU